GACGAACGCUGGCGGCGUGCUUAACACAUGCCAGUCGUACGGUAAGGCCCUUUCGGGGGUACACGAGUGGCGAACGGGUGAGUAACACGUGAGUAACCUGCCCACAACUUUGGGAUAACGCUAGGAAACUGGUGCUAAUACUGGAUAUGUGCUCCUGCUGCAUGGUGGGGGUUGGAAAGCUCCGGCGGUUGUGGAUGGACUCGCGGCCUAUCAGCUUGUUGGUGGGGUAGUGGCCUACCAAGGCGGCGACGGGUAGCCGGCCUGAGAGGGUGACCGGCCAAAAUGGGGACGGAGAAAGGCCCAGACUCCUACGGGAGGCAGCAGUGGGGAAUAUUGCACAAGGGGCGCAAGCCUGAUGCAGCAACGCCGCGUGCGGGAUGACGGCCUUCGGGUUGUAAACCGCGUUCAGCAGGGACGAAGCUUUUUGUGACGGUACCUGCAGAAGAAGCACCGGCUAACUACGUG
rnacentral:rRNA from 1 species